UCUUUGCUUUGUUGCUAAAGUCAACAGUGACAGAGUUUGAGCUCAAAUAAAUGCCGCGAGGCUUCCAGCCCUGUGCAGAAGGCAGCGGGAGAGGCUCCGAUACCGUUCUGCAGGCUCCAGAUCUGAACCAAUCAGCAGUCAUCUUCAUCGUCGUGCCACUUCAUUUGGCAACUGCUGGUUCAACCCUUUCCAUCGGCCACGUUCACCUGCAGCUACCCACAGUCACGUCUGACCUGGAUGCAUGAGCAAGAUAACAUUCACAUCUGCAACGUCAAGAGAGAGGGGCACAAGGAAGCCUGACAUUAAUGAUUAACAGCGCUAAAAGCCCCUGCUUUUGUAUUCCCAUGGUGCCAGGGCUAUCUGCCGAUCAUGUGACCUGCACCGAGAAGAUUGGGGGAGUGAGCGCAAAAGCAAACACAGGUGUUUGGGCUGGAGUCGGUCGGCGCUGUUAGGGACAACUGCAAACACAGGCUGCCAUGCCUGGAGACGCGAAUGCCCGCCCACACCAACAGGACAGCCAACCGGAGUCACUGACUCAAGUCUGCCGCUCUCUGCCUGCCUUUUCUCUGAACAAUUAAGGCUCUUCAUUGGCCUAUUAAAGUCUGCUCUUUUAGUACAGUUUGACCUGAGGAGCUAUGGAUUCUUUAUUGAGCACCAUAAAUAGGCAUAAAAUAAA